rnacentral:lncRNA from 1 species
CGUAUACUUCCCUUAAUCUCCUCAUUGGCAAUCAUGAAAAUCCACCUCAAGCUUUCAGCCUUGACGAGAUUAAAGCCGGUUGAUAGCAGCAAGGGGGCGAGAAGCCAAGGCACAUGGGGUGGCUGUCGUGUGGGGUGGCCAUUGUUGGACGGAGCCGGAGAGCGAACAGUGGACAGAGCUAAGGACAAAGGGAGGAAUGGGGUAGCGUGGAUCUUUUGGUGCCAAGGUGGGCAAAGGCAUCAGUGGUCGGUGUUGAGGGCGCGAGGCGGGUGCACGACGAGUUAAAGAAGUUGAGUAGGAGCUUGGGGUGGAGGUGCCAGGAGGAGGUAUGGCGGCAGAGAAGUGAGGAUAAGGCAGCGGGAGGGAAGGUCGGAGCCAACGAUGAUGAGCUUCUAGUCGGGAC